UACACAUGGUGGUACACGCACAUCACAACAACAUCAUCCAAGAUUUCGUGUGUGUGUAUUUGAGGUCGAUGACUCAAUAUGUUCGAUUAGAUUGUGGCAUGGCCGAUGGUAAAGAAGAACCAACUAUCAUGUUCGAGGACGAAGCAUAUUCUGCCCAAGAUCUUCAUCACCCACGGAUUGCAGAAAAUUGGAAAGGUCCAAGGGACCUUCAGUAAUGUCCAAAUCAAGAGGAAUAAUGUGUGUUGUACACUUUUUCCUUCACCAUGGUUUUGUCCCAAUUGAGUUUUUCUGGUAAGGUUUUAAUGAGGCAACAUUAAAGCACAUUACAAGCUCUAAAUGGUUAUGGCAUCCAAGGGGGAGUGUUAUGAACCAGAUUGUGGAUGGCUCAUAACCAAAAGAUUAUGAUUUGUAAUCUUUCCAUUUAUCUAUGACGGUGUAAUCUACUGUAUAAGGAACAUCUAUGUCAUGAAUAAAGAUACACUUUUCAUUACUUUUAUAACAUUUACAAAAUGAAAACUAGUUCUUGAUGACUGUGCUUCUCAUUUUAAAUUUAGAGAAUUUAUAAUUUCACAGAAUUGAUCGUUCUCUUGUCUAAACGAAGAACACUAAUGGGCUUUUCAUAAAACGGACUACAUUAAAAAGCCUAUACCAUCUUAGUCAGAAAGGUCAAUAACUGUAAAGGAUUAUACAUCGUCUCUAAUAUCUUAACACUUGACAAAUUAUAUACGGAAAUUACACUUCAUAUACAAAGAAAACUUUUUGCAGGCAACAUAAUGUCUAAUACAUCUCGAAACUCUAUAUUUCAUUAUUAUGCCUACAGAGAGAGACUAUGCUCAUCAUUACAAUCGAUAUACUCUUCUUUAAAUAUCUAUUUCAUCUCUCUCAAUCUCUCUGGUUUAUAUGUGGUUACGAUUCUCAUUCUCUCACAAUCUCUUUGAUUUUUCCGCCAGAACUAUUGUUUACUAACAAUCUUUCAUCUCUCCCAAUCUUUUUGGUUUCUCCGACGGAACCCUUGUUCCGAAACAGUCUUCCAUCUAUCUCAAUCGCUUUGGUUUCUCCGAAUUCUUGCUCCAAAAUAAUCUCGUACUCGCCGGAUCAUGUUCUUCAGUCUCACCGUAUUUUCCAGUCAUUAAUUCUAUCUAAGUUCAUGUUGGCAAUUAUGGAGACCAUAGAGUUACCAUUUCAGAUUUUUGCUGCUGGCCACACACAUCAGCAAGAAUAUUAACCGGCUAUGCCAGUUUGUGUUACGACUAUAUAUUUUGGGAAAAUAUUUUGUAAGAUUUCCAAGUUAUGUAUGCAACUUUGUUUUCUGUUUGACUCUUUCUAUGUGAUAUAUUAACCGGUUAUGUUAGUUUGUGUUACGGCUAUGUAAUUUGGAAAACUUUUAUGUAAGAUUACUCAGAUAUUUAUGCAACGUAUGUUAUUUG